ensembl:snoRNA small nucleolar RNA MBII-202
UGAUGACAAAUCUCCGGAAUCUCUGUAUUUUCUUUUGAUGAAACUGUUGAACCCUUUUUGCUGAUGACUGCUUUUAUGGGGUUUAGU